rnacentral:rRNA from 1 species
UACAGAGGGUGCAAGCGUUUAAUCGGAAUUACUGGGCGUAAAGGGCUCGUAGGUGGCCAACUAAGUCAGACGUGAAAUCCCUCGGCUUAACCGGGGAACUGCGUCUGAUACUGGAUGGCUUGAGUUUGGGAGAGGGACGCGGAAUUCCAGGUGUAGCGGUGAAAUGCGUAGAUAUCUGGAGGAACACCGGUGGCGAAGGCGGGUCUCUGGACAGUUCCUGACACUGAGACACGAAGGCCAGGGGAGCAAACGGG